CAGCCGCCACGGGAAUACGUAGGUGGCAAGCGUUGCCCGGAAUUAUUGGGCGUAAAGGGCUCGCAGGCGGUUUCUUAAGUCUGAUGUGAAAGCCCCCGGCUCAACCGGGGAGGGUCAUUGGAAACUGGGAAACUUGAGUGCAGAAGAGGAGAGUGGAAUUCCACGUGUAGCGGUGAAAUGCGUAGAGAUGUGGAGGAACACCAGUGGCGAAGGCGACUCUCUGGUCUGUAACUGACGCUGAGGAGCGAAAGCGUGGGGAGCGAACAGGAUUAGAUACCCCUGUAGUCCCUGUCUAUUAUAC
rnacentral:rRNA from 1 species